UGAACGCUAGCUACAGGCUUAACACAUGCAAGUCGAGGGGCAGCAUGGUCUUAGCUUGCUAAGGCCGAUGGCGACCGGCGCACGGGUGAGUAACACGUAUCCAACCUGCCGUCUACUCUUGGACAGCCUUCUGAAAGGAAGAUUAAUACAAGAUGGCAUCAUGAGUCCGCAUGUUCACAUGAUUAAAGGUAUUCCGGUAGACGAUGGGGAUGCGUUCCAUUAGAUAGUAGGCGGGGUAACGGCCCACCUAGUCUUCGAUGGAUAGGGGUUCUGAGAGGAAGGUCCCCCACAUUGGAACUGAGACACGGUCCAAACUCCUACGGGAGGCAGCAGUGAGGAAUAUUGGUCAAUGGGCGAGAGCCUGAACCAGCCAAGUAGCGUGAAGGAUGACUGCCCUAUGGGUUGUAAACUUCUUUUAUAAAGGAAUAAAGUCGGGUAUGGAUACCCGUUUGCAUGUACUUUAUGAAUAAGGAUCGGCUAACUCCGUGCCAGCAGCCGCGGUAAUACGGAGGAUCCGAGCGUUAUCCGGAUUUAUUGGGUUUAAAGGGAGCGUAGAUGGAUGUUUAAGUCAGUUGUGAAAGUUUGCGGCUCAACCGUAAAAUUGCAGUUGAUACUGGAUAUCUUGAGUGCAGUUGAGGCAGGCGGAAUUCGUGGUGUAGCGGUGAAAUGCUUAGAUAUCACGAAGAACUCCGAUUGCGAAGGCAGCCUGCUAAGCUGCAACUGACAUUGAGGCUCGAAAGUGUGGGUAUCAAACAGGAUUAGAUACCCUGGUAGUCCACACGGUAAACGAUGAAUACUCGCUGUUUGCGAUAUACAGCAAGCGGCCAAGCGAAAGCGUUAAGUAUUCCACCUGGGGAGUACGCCGGCAACGGUGAAACUCAAAGGAAUUGACGGGGGCCCACACAAGCGGAGGAACAUGUGGUUUAAUUCGAUGAUACGCGAGGAACCUUACCCGGGCUUAAAUUGCAGAUGAAUUACGGUGAAAGCCGUAAGCCGCAAGGCAUCUGUGAAGGUGCUGCAUGGUUGUCGUCAGCUCGUGCCGUGAGGUGUCGGCUUAAGUGCCAUAACGAGCGCAACCCUUGUUGUCAGUUACUAACAGGUUCCGCUGAGGACUCUGACAAGACUGCCAUCGUAAGAUGUGAGGAAGGUGGGGAUGACGUCAAAUCGGCACGGCCCUUACGUCCGGGGCUACACACGUGUUACAAUGGGGGGUACAGAGGGCCGCUACCACGCGAGUGGAUGCCAAUCCCCAAAACCUCUCUCAGUUCGGACUGGAGUCUGCAACCCGACUCCACGAAGCUGGAUUCGCUAGUAAUCGCGCAUCAGCCACGGCGCGGUGAAUACGUUCCCGGGCCUUGUACACACCGCCCGUCAAGCCAUGGGAGCCGGGGGUACCUGAAGUGCGUAACCGCGAGGAGCGCCCUAGGGCAAAACUGGUGACUGGG
rnacentral:rRNA from 1 species